rnacentral:SRP_RNA from 1 species
AGAAUUAAGUUUUAUAAGACCAUACCAAUGUGUCAGGACUGAAAGGUAGCAGCACAAUAUCGGUUGCGUAAGUGCUUGAUUUUAGG